GUUAUGCGAGCCGAUCCGUCUUCCUCCCUUGGCGACUCUUCCUCCUCCUCCGGACCUCUCGCCACCGUCGCCCUCCUCCUUGCACGCCUUCGACUUCGCCUUCGUCUUCGUCAUGCCCUCCGCUGGAAGAUCUCUCGCCGGUAGUGCCUCUCGGGAUUCGUCCAGUCGUCGGACGUCUUCGUCAUGUGCCAAGGUCUAAGCAAACCCUAACGUGUUCUUGGCUCCGUUCCCUUCUUCAUCGAACAUUUUCUUGGAUCCAUAGAACGAACUCGAGUACGGGGCGUCAAUGCGAGUUCGAAGAUUGGGCAUGGCGUUCCAACAUCCACGUCCUCUUCAUCCACCAGGUCAAGGAAACCCUAACACGUUCUUGACUCAUUUUCCUUCUUCAUCGAACCUUCUUCUUGGAUGCAGGGCACGAACUCGUAUAUCUGGGAUCGUGCGAGAUCCAAAAUUGGACAUGUUCCAAGAUCAAUGUCGUCUUCAGGUCCAAACCCUAACGCAUUCUGGUCCGGUCCCUUUCUACACCGGACCUUUCCUGGAUGCAGAGGAGGAAAGGUUUCAGCCCGAGUGUUGGUACGACCUGGACCAAGUGCCAGACAUCAGUACAAGUUCUUGGGCCGUAACCCGAACGCGUUCGUGGGCGGGUUCCCUUCUUCAUCAUCAACCUUCUCUUGGAUGCCGGGUACCCAAUCCGUGUUGCUACGCCCUUGACGAAGCAGCGGGUGUAGUAUCGGAAAUCAGACCAUCAUGCUUGAUCUCUCUCUAAUGGAGACACAUUCAUUGAUCCAACAUUCGCCGACACCGACAUUCUGCUUUGAUCAUAAAUGGAGACACCCAUUAUCCGGGUUGUCUACUACGUUACACAUGAAGUCUUGGAGUGGUCGACCUCUCGUUGGGAUGGACCACUGGUAUGUAUCUGUAUCUUCUUCGAGCUUGUGCGUGUGUAUGUAUGUAUAUUAUAUAUUUUCUGAAAACAAGAAAGGGCUAACAUAUCAAAAAUAGACGGUUGCCAAAGUAGUACCUGCUGCUAACCACAAAGAACAGAGUCUGCGUGGAUGGUAUAAUUCACCAAUCUUUGUGCACUAUCGAAGACUUUGAACUAGGGUCGCCUCUAGAAAAUAACAAGCAGUCUCCAAAUCAUCUCAAUACUUCUAAAUGAUCCCACUUUCUUGUCUCAAAAUCUCGUAACUUCUAAAUAAUUCCUAUGCGAUCUUUGGGACUGGAAAUGGAUUUUUUUUAAG